AAACUUAAAGGAAUUGACCGGGGGCCCGGCACAAGCGGUGGAGGCAUGUGGUUUAAUUCGAAGCAGCGCGAAGAACCUUACCAGGCCUUGACAUGCAGAGAACUUCCAGAGAUGGAUUGGUGCCUUCGGGAACUCUGACACAGGUGCUGCAUGGCUGUCGUCAGCUCGUGUCGUGAGAUGUUGGGUUAAGUCCCGCAACGAGCGCAACCCUCGACUUUAGUUACCAUCAUUAAGUUGGGUACUUUAAAGUAACCGCCGGUGAUAAGCCGGAGGAAGGUGGGGAUGACGUCAAGUCCUCAUGGCCCUUACGCGCUGGGCUACACACGUGCUACAAUGGCAAGUACAGUGGGCAGCAAUCCCGCGAGGGUGAGCUAAUCUCCAAAACUUGUCUCAGUUCGGAUUGGAGUCUGCAACUCGACUCCAUGAAGUUGGAAUCGCUAGUAAUCGUGGAUCAGCAUGCCACGGUGAAUACGUUCCCGGGCCUU
rnacentral:rRNA from 1 species